CUUCGAGGCCGGUUCAAGAGCUUCCAGAGGAGGAAUAUGAUCCAGCCUCGACAGAGAGCCAAGUUCAAACCCAGGAUCCCCUGAAAUGCUGGGCACACUGACUAGCCUCUUGUAUAGAGUCUCAAGCCUGUGGCCAGAAGCAGCUGUGUGAAGUAGCCGCUGUGAUGGAUUGGGACCACAGAUACCACUUUGGAAGGAAAGGUUCCAGAAACCAAAGCUUGGGCCAUGGGUCUCUGGGAAACUGCAGCAGGAGUUUAGAGUCUAAUGGAUGGAACACAGAAGCAGGAAAAAAAUUGCUGUAGAAUAUGAUAAAGAUUAAUAGAGGCUUUGGGAAAGGCCUGUUUCCUGGCACUAAAAGUAGCCAGUCUUGGCGUGAACAGCCCUUGACAAUUCCCAGCAUAUGGUAAGAGAAGACGCUUCUGCCCACCCAUCAGGCAUGGAAAGGAGCAAUAAUACACGCAACACUGAACAGGACCAUGCCCUCUUCUAAAUGACAUUAU
ensembl:lncRNA novel transcript